GGUUAAGCGACUAAGCGUACACGGUGGAUGCCCUGGCAGUCAGAGGCGAUGAAGGACGUGCUAAUCUGCGAUAAGCGUCGGUAAGGUGAUAUGAACCGUUAUAACCGGCGAUUUCCGAAUGGGGAAACCCAGUGUGUUUCGACACACUAUCAUUAACUGAAUCCAUAGGUUAAUGAGGCGAACCGGGGGAACUGAAACAUCUAAGUACCCCGAGGAAAAGAAAUCAACCGAGAUUCCCCCAGUAGCGGCGAGCGAACGGGGAGCAGCCCAGAGCCUGAAUCAGUGUGUGUGUUAGUGGAAGCGUCUGGAAAGGCGCGCGAUACAGGGUGACAGCCCCGUACACAAAAAUGCACAUGCUGUGAGCUCGAUGAGUAGGGCGGGACACGUGGUAUCCUGUCUGAAUAUGGGGGGACCAUCCUCCAAGGCUAAAUACUCCUGACUGACCGAUAGUGAACCAGUACCGUGAGGGAAAGGCGAAAAGAACCCCGGCGAGGGGAGUGAAAAAGAACCUGAAACCGUGUACGUACAAGCAGUGGGAGCCUCUUUUAUGGGGUGACUGCGUACCUUUUGUAUAAUGGGUCAGCGACUUAUAUUCUGUAGCAAGGUUAACCGAAUAGGGGAGCCGAAGGGAAACCGAGUCUUAACUGGGCGUUAAGUUGCAGGGUAUAGACCCGAAACCCGGUGAUCUAGCCAUGGGCAGGUUGAAGGUUGGGUAACACUAACUGGAGGACCGAACCGACUAAUGUUGAAAAAUUAGCGGAUGACUUGUGGCUGGGGGUGAAAGGCCAAUCAAACCGGGAGAUAGCUGGUUCUCCCCGAAAGCUAUUUAGGUAGCGCCUCGUGAAUUCAUCUCCGGGGGUAGAGCACUGUUUCGGCAAGGGGGUCAUCCCGACUUACCAACCCGAUGCAAACUGCGAAUACCGGAGAAUGUUAUCACGGGAGACACACGGCGGGUGCUAACGUCCGUCGUGAAGAGGGAAACAACCCAGACCGCCAGCUAAGGUCCCAAAGUCAUGGUUAAGUGGGAAACGAUGUGGGAAGGCCCAGACAGCCAGGAUGUUGGCUUAGAAGCAGCCAUCAUUUAAAGAAAGCGUAAUAGCUCACUGGUCGAGUCGGCCUGCGCGGAAGAUGUAACGGGGCUAAACCAUGCACCGAAGCUGCGGCAGCGACGCUGAUGCGUUGUUGGGUAGGGGAGCGUUCUGUAAGCCUGUGAAGGUGUGCUGUGAGGCAUGCUGGAGGUAUCAGAAGUGCGAAUGCUGACAUAAGUAACGAUAAAGCGGGUGAAAAGCCCGCUCGCCGGAAGACCAAGGGUUCCUGUCCAACGUUAAUCGGGGCAGGGUGAGUCGACCCCUAAGGCGAGGCCGAAAGGCGUAGUCGAUGGGAAACAGGUUAAUAUUCCUGUACUUGGUGUUACUGCGAAGGGGGGACGGAGAAGGCUAUGUUGGCCGGGCGACGGUUGUCCCGGUUUAAGCGUGUAGGCUGGUUUUCCAGGCAAAUCCGGAAAAUCAAGGCUGAGGCGUGAUGACGAGGCACUACGGUGCUGAAGCAACAAAUGCCCUGCUUCCAGGAAAAGCCUCUAAGCAUCAGGUAACAUCAAAUCGUACCCCAAACCGACACAGGUGGUCAGGUAGAGAAUACCAAGGCGCUUGAGAGAACUCGGGUGAAGGAACUAGGCAAAAUGGUGCCGUAACUUCGGGAGAA
rnacentral:rRNA from 1 species